GGUGAACGCUGGCGGCGUGCCUAUACAUGCAAGUCGAGCGAACAGAGAAGGAGCUUGCUCCUUCGACGUUAGCGGCGGACGGGUGAGUAACACGUGGGCAACCUACCUUAUAGUUUGGGAUAACUCCGGGAAACCGGGGCUAAUACCGAAUAAUCUGUUUCAUCUCAUGGUGAAACACUGAAAGACGGUUUCGGCUGUCGCUAUAGGAUGGGCCCGCGGCGCAUUAGCUAGUUGGUGAGGUAACGGCUCACCAAGGCGACGAUGCGUAGCCGACCUGAGAGGGUGAUCGGACACACUGGGACUGGGACACGGCCCAGACUCCUACGGGAGGCAGCAGUAGGGAAUCUUCCACAAUGGGCGAAAGCCUGAUGGAGCAACGCCGCGUGAGUGAAGAAGGAUUUCGGUUCGUAAAACUCUGUUGUAAGGGAAGAACAAGUACAGUAGUAACUGGCUGUACCUUGACGGUACCUUAUUAGAAAGCCACGGCUAACUACGUGCCAGCAGCCGCCGUAA
rnacentral:rRNA from 1 species